CAAAACGUCGUGAGACAGUUUGGUCCCUAUCCAUCGUGGGCGUAGGAUACUUGAGAAGGCUUGUCCUUAGUACGAGAGGACCGGGAUGAACGCACCAACUGUGCAUCUGUUGUCGCGCCAGCGGCAUAGCAGAGUAGCGGAGUGCGGUUGAGAUAAACGCUGAAAGCAUCUAAGCGUGAAACUCGCUUCAAGAUAAGGUAUCCCACAGCGUAGGCUGGUAAGACCCCUUAAAGACAAUAAGGUUGAUAGGUCGGAGGUGUAAGUGCAGUAAUGUACGUAGCUGACCGAUACUAAUAGGUCGAGGGCUUGAUCUCA
rnacentral:rRNA from 1 species